GCGCAGCAGGCGAGAAUCCUUCGCAAUGCGGGAAACCGCGACGAGGGGACUCCCAGUGCCUACGCUCAGCGUAGGCUGUUCCCGAGCCUAGAAAGCUCGGGGAGUAAGGGCUGGGUAAGACGGGUGCCAGCCGCCGCGGUAAUACCCGCAGCCCGAGUGGUGGCCACUAUUAUUGGGCCUAAAGCGUCCGUAGCCGGCCCGGUAAAUGCCUGGGUAAAUCGUGAGGCCUAACCUCACGAAUUCCGGGUAGACUGCCGGGCUAGGGACCGGAGGAGGGAGAGGGGUACUCCAGGGGUAGGGGUGAAAUCCUGUAAUCCCUGGAGGACCACCGGUGGCGAAGGCGCUCUCCUAGGACGGGUCCGACGGUGAGGGACGAAAGCCGA
rnacentral:rRNA from 1 species